rnacentral:rRNA from 1 species
GGUUAAGCGACUAAGCGUACACGGUGGAUGCCCUGGCAGUCAGAGGCGAUGAAGGGCGUGCUAAUCUGCGAUAAGCGCCGGUAAGGUGAUAUGAACCGUUAUAACCGGCGAUACCCGAAUGGGGAAACCCAGUGUGAUUCGUCACACUAUCAUUAACUGAAUCCAUAGGUUAAUGAGGCGAACCGGGGGAACUGAAACAUCUAAGUACCCCGAGGAAAAGAAAUCAACCGAGAUUCCCCCAGUAGCGGCGAGCGAACGGGGAGGAGCCCAGAGCCUGAAUCAGCAUGUGUGUUAGUGGAAGCGUCUGGAAAGGCGCGCGAUACAGGGUGACAGCCCCGUACACAAAAGCGCAUGUGCUGUGAGCUCGAUGAGUAGGGCGGGACACGUGGUAUCCUGUCUGAAUAUGGGGGGACCAUCCUCCAAGGCUAAAUACUCCUGACUGACCGAUAGUGAACCAGUACCGUGAGGGAAAGGCGAAAAGAACCCCGGCGAGGGGAGUGAAAAAGAACCUGAAACCGUGUACGUACAAGCAGUGGGAGCACCCUUCGGGGUGUGACUGCGUACCUUUUGUAUAAUGGGUCAGCGACUUAUAUUCUGUAGCAAGGUUAACCGAAUAGGGGAGCCGGAGGGAAACCGAGUCUUAAUUGGGCGUUAAGUUGCAGGGUAUAGACCCGAAACCCGGUGAUCUAGCCAUGGGCAGGUUGAAGGUUGGGUAACACUAACUGGAGGACCGAACCGACUAAUGUUGAAAAAUUAGCGGAUGACCUGUGGCUGGGGGUGAAAGGCCAAUCAAACCGGGAGAUAGCUGGUUCUCCCCGAAAGCUAUUUAGGUAGCGCCUCGUGAAUUCAUCUCCGGGGGUAGAGCACUGUUUCGGCUAGGGGGCCAUCCCGGCUUACCAACCCGAUGCAAACUGCGAAUACCGGAGAAUGUUAUCACGGGAGACACACGGCGGGUGCUAACGUCCGUCGUGAAGAGGGAAACAACCCAGACCGCCAGCUAAGGUCCCAAAGUCAUGGUUAAGUGGGAAACGAUGUGGGAAGGCCCAGACAGCCAGGAUGUUGGCUUAGAAGCAGCCAUCAUUUAAAGAAAGCGUAAUAGCUCACUGGUCGAGUCGGCCUGCGCGGAAGAUGUAACGGGGCUAAACCAUGCACCGAAGCUGCGGCAGCGAACGUAUCACCCAAGACAACUUUACGGAGUUGACGAUUGACGGAGCGAAGCGACGUCAAAGCGUUCAUUAAAGUCGAGUUGGCUUAGGGAUACGUUCGUUGGGUAGGGGAGCGUUCUGUAAGCCUGUGAAGGUGUGUCGUGAGGCAUGCUGGAGGUAUCAGAAGUGCGAAUGCUGACAUAAGUAACGAUAAAGCGGGUGAAAAGCCCGCUCGCCGGAAGACCAAGGGUUCCUGUCCAACGUUAAUCGGGGCAGGGUGAGUCGACCCCUAAGGCGAGGCCGAAAGGCGUAGUCGAUGGGAAACGGGUUAAUAUUCCCGUACUUGGUGUUACUGCGAAGGGGGGACGGAGAAGGCUAUGUUGGCCGGGCGACGGUUGUCCCGGUUUAAGCGUGUAGGUGUGUGUUCCAGGUAAAUCCGGUUCACUUUAACACUGAGGCGUGACGACGAGGCACUACGGUGCUGAAGCAACAAAUGCCCUGCUUCCAGGAAAAGCCUCUAAGCAUCAGGUAACACGAAAUCGUACCCCAAACCGACACAGGUGGUCAGGUAGAGAAUACCAAGGCGCUUGAGAGAACUCGGGUGAAGGAACUAGGCAAAAUGGUGCCGUAACUUCGGGAGAAGGCACGCUGACACGUAGGUGAAGUGAUUUACUCAUGGAGCUGAAGUCAGUCGAAGAUACCAGCUGGCUGCAACUGUUUAUUAAAAACACAGCACUGUGCAAACACGAAAGUGGACGUAUACGGUGUGACGCCUGCCCGGUGCCGGAAGGUUAAUUGAUGGGGUCAGCGUAAGCGAAGCUCCUGAUCGAAGCCCCGGUAAACGGCGGCCGUAACUAUAACGGUCCUAAGGUAGCGAAAUUCCUUGUCGGGUAAGUUCCGACCUGCACGAAUGGCGUAAUGAUGGCCAGGCUGUCUCCACCCGAGACUCAGUGAAAUUGAACUCGCUGUGAAGAUGCAGUGUACCCGCGGCAAGACGGAAAGACCCCGUGAACCUUUACUAUAGCUUGACACUGAACAUUGAGCCUUGAUGUGUAGGAUAGGUGGGAGGCUUUGAAGUGUGGACGCCAGUCUGCAUGGAGCCGACCUUGAAAUACCACCCUUUAAUGUUUGAUGUUCUAACGUGGACCCGUAAUCCGGGUUGCGGACAGUGUCUGGUGGGUAGUUUGACUGGGGCGGUCUCCUCCUAAAGAGUAACGGAGGAGCACGAAGGUUGGCUAAUCCUGGUCGGACAUCAGGAGGUUAGUGCAAUGGCAUAAGCCAGCUUGACUGCGAGCGUGACGGCGCGAGCAGGUGCGAAAGCAGGUCAUAGUGAUCCGGUGGUUCUGAAUGGAAGGGCCAUCGCUCAACGGAUAAAAGGUACUCCGGGGAUAACAGGCUGAUACCGCCCAAGAGUUCAUAUCGACGGCGGUGUUUGGCACCUCGAUGUCGGCUCAUCACAUCCUGGGGCUGAAGUAGGUCCCAAGGGUAUGGCUGUUCGCCAUUUAAAGUGGUACGCGAGCUGGGUUUAGAACGUCGUGAGACAGUUCGGUCCCUAUCUGCCGUGGGCGCUGGAGAACUGAGGGGGGCUGCUCCUAGUACGAGAGGACCGGAGUGGACGCAUCACUGGUGUUCGGGUUGUCAUGCCAAUGGCACUGCCCGGUAGCUAAAUGCGGAAGAGAUAAGUGCUGAAAGCAUCUAAGCACGAAACUUGCCCCGAGAUGAGUUCUCCCUGAGACUUAGAGUCUCCUGAAGGAACGUUGAAGACGACGACGUUGAUAGGCCGGGUGUGUAAGCGCAGCGAUGCGUUGAGCUAACCGGUACUAAUGAACCGUGAGGCUUAACCUU